CUUCUUCGACUUGCUGAGGGCAAAUAAAGUGAAUGUGAGCGUCGAUACCACCGGCGGUUAAAAUUGAACCCUCACCGGCAAUUACUUCAGUACCUGGGCCGAUAAUAAUGUCGAUAUUAUCUUGGAUGUCGGGAUUACCGGCUUUACCGAUGGCAAAGAUGCGGCCAUUCUUAAUACCGACAUCGCCUUUUACAAUACCCCAGUGAUCGAGUACCACGGCAUUGGUAAUAACCAAGUCUACCGCCACGUCGUUGGUGUAUUGGCUUUGACCCAUGCCAUCUCGAAUG
rfam:Thalassolituus oleivorans MIL-1 complete genome